CGGACGGGUGAGUAACGCGUGGGUAACCUGCCUCAUACAGGGGGAUAACAGUUGGAAACGACUGCUAAUACCGCAUAAGCGCACAGGAUCGCAUGAUCCGGUGUGAAAAACUCCGGUGGUAUGAGAUGGACCCGCGUCUGAUUAGCUAGUUGGUGGGGUAACGGCUCACCAAGGCGACGAUCAGUAGCCGACCUGAGAGGGUGACCGGCCACAUUGGGACUGAGACACGGCCCAA
rnacentral:rRNA from 1 species